GGGUCAGUAGGUUGGUCGUGCCACCGGUACGUACUGGUCUCACCGACUCCUCCUUCCUGAAGAACCGUAAUGCCAUUAAUUUGAUGUUGCGGGGAAACAGGACUGUUACUUUGAAAAAAUUAGAGUGUUUAAAGCAAGCUAACGCUUGAAUACAUUAGCAUGGAAUAAUGAAAUAGGACGAUCGAUCCUAUUUUGUUGGUUUCUAGGAUUGACGUA
rnacentral:rRNA from 1 species